rnacentral:rRNA from 1 species
AUUGAACGCUGGCGGCAUGCCUUACACAUGCAAGUCGAACGGUAACGGGCCUUCGGGUGCCGACGAGUGGCGAACGGGUGAGUAAUGCAUCGGAACGUACCUUUCAGUGGGGGAUAACGUAGCGAAAGUUACGCUAAUACCGCAUAUUCUGUGAGCAGGAAAGCAGGGGAUCGCAAGACCCUGCGCUGAUUGAGCGGCCGAUGUCAGAUUAGCUAGUUGGUGAGGUAAAAGGCUCACCAAGGCGACGAUCUGUAGCGGGUCUGAGAGGAUGAUCCGCCACACUGGAACUGAGACACGGUCCAGACUCCUACGGGAGGCAGCAGUGGGGAAUUUUGGACAAUGGGGGCAACCCUGAUCCAGCCAUGCCGCGUGAGUGAAGAAGGCCUUCGGGUUGGUUAAAGACGUCUUUCGGUCCGGGAACGGAAAGUACGCAUGG